ensembl:lncRNA
UGAGCACAGGUAUUUCUAAGUAUCUCAGGGAAAGAGAAGCUGAUCGGGUUCUCUCCCAGGAGUUCGUUCUGAGGCGAGCCAUGUCACUCACCCAGUGAGACAUGUACUCAUGAAUGUCUGCUCACUCCUGGGAGUGUUAAUGUGCUGUAGCUUUUGGUGUGAAGUAUUCCAUGUCAAAGUCGCGUUUGCCAUAUGUAUUUUUUCAUUCCUCUUGUUGCUGUGGGGGUUGGAAAGAGAAGGGAUUAUAUUGGACCCCUUAAGGGUAGGCUCCUGAAAUGGAGUGUAUUCCUUGUUAUACUGGUUCCCUGUUCUGUGCAAAAUGUCUAUGGCGGAAUAGUAUUCCAUUGUAUGUAUGUACCACAUUUUCUUUACCCACUGAUCUGUUGAUGGACACUGAGCCUGUUCCGUGUGUCGGCUGUUGUGAAGAGUGCGCCAUUGAACACCGGGGUGCAGACACGGCUUUGAGACAGUGAUUUCGUUUCCAUUGGCUGUACACCCAGGGCUGGGAUUGCCGGAUCAUGGGGUGGCUCUCCUUUUACUUCUUGAGGAACUUGCAUACUGUUUUCCAUUGUGGCUGAAGCAGUUUACAUGGGGGAACACUUCUUGAACUAAAGAGAUUUCGUGACUGGUUCUCCAGCCACUUCUGAUUGUCUGUUCUCUUGAGGAGAAGAAUGAUGGAGGUUGGAGGCUCUGGUGGGGAAGGGGGUUCUGUGAUCAGGAAAGAUGGAAGGACUAACUCCUUGCUUCCGGUGCUUGAAGCCUAGAGCUGGGAAGGGGGCUGGACAGAGUGUCCUCUGUAGAGCUGCUCUCAGAGCAGGAGGACAGAGCAGAGAGGAGGGUAUGCGCCCUCAGUGUCAAAGGCGUGUUGGCCUUUGUAUGUUCCAGAGUGCCUCCUGCCCGCUGGCCCAUCCAUGGCACUACCAGGGAUCAGCAUGGCUGGAGGAUAAAAGAUAACAAUGCAGAUGGUUGAGUGUGACAUGAGAACAUACGGCCCUCUGGCCAAGAUGAAAUUUUGACGAUGGGGACUGUUGCUGACUUGUGCAAUAGGAGUAUUUUGGACUUUGCUGCUGAGGAAUGCUUUGCUGUUUCUGCCUGAUUCUGUGCACUGACUUAGCCUGUGAAUAAUGGCUCGAGGAACAUUGGCUCUUUGCCCUCCUACGUUGUUGUGUAGUACAUUAACAUGAGGGAGUCUUCUGAGAGAGAACUGCUGUUGUCUCCGGGGAAUAAUCGCUCUUGGUUGAGGUGCCCAGUCACUCUUUCGUGCUGUUGAUGAGUUGUGUCCCCAUGGAGAGAAUGAUGAAAGCGAGCUGCUGUUGCUGCUGUGAUAUUUCCACAGACCACGCAGACACUUCUUCCUUCCACCAUCACAUGACUCAAUUGCCUUUUUCAAGUCCCUCAAAAAGCGCAUGCCGGCAAUGGCCGAAUGUGGGGUGUGGGAAAUUCUGGGUCCCUGGGGAGAAAUUGGCCGUGGCCCGCCGUCAGGCUUGCGUGCUCUGACAUGAAGGUGCUGAACAGAAUGUCGUCCACCAUGCAGGGCGAUGGCAUCUUAGGAGUCAUUAGGGAUGCUGAAUUUCUGGAUGGGAGUUGGGCUGGAGCUUUAGCCAAGCGUUUGCAGGUGAGCUGUCGGCACUCUUCCGCUGAGUACACUCUGCACAUUGGUAGGAAGAGGAGAGUCACUGGGCCCUGUCCAUGAACAGUAGAUGAGGCCGUGGACAUUUAGAUCCUCAUGGAUGUGCGCAGAUGAGCCUGGAUAUCCAGGAAUGUGCCUGGUGAGCUCUCCAGGCUGGAGGAUUUUGCCCACCUAUUCUUCAUUGCUGAAUAGGACAGCAUGUAGUCAGUGGCUCUGGCUGUCCCUUCCCCUGUUUCUGUGAGAAGGUUUUGCUGCUUGGUGGUCUGCCCCUCUGCCCUUCUGGUCCUCUCAC